AACGAACGCUGGCGGCAGGCCUAACACAUGCAAGUCGAACGGAAAGGCCUCAGCUUGCUGGGGUACUCGAGUGGCGAACGGGUGAGUAACACGUGGGUGAUCUGCCCUGCACUUUGGGAUAAGCUUGGGAAACUGGGUCUAAUACCGAAUAUGACCACUUCUUGGAUGUUGUGGUGGAAAGCUUUUGCGGUGUGGGAUGAGCCUGCGGCCUAUCAGCUUGUUGGUGGGGUAAUGGCCUACCAAGGCGGCGACGGGUAUCCGGCCUGAGAGGGGGUACGGACACAUUGGGACUGAGAUACGGCCCAGACUCCUACGGGAGGCAGCAGUGGGGAAUAUUGCACAAUGGGCGCAAGCCUGAUGCAGCGACGCCGCGUGGGGGAUGAAGGCCUUCGGGUUGUAAACUCCUUUCGCUAUCGACGAAGCCACUUGUGGUGACGGUAGGUAGAUAAGAAGCACCGGCUAACUACGUGCCAGCCGCCGCGGUAA
rnacentral:rRNA from 1 species